rnacentral:lncRNA from 1 species
UCCUUUCUUCACUGCAACCUGGAAGUUGUCUCUAGGUGUCUGCGAAAAGGCUCUGUUCCCUCCGGUCACUCAGGGACCCAGCCUGAUGGAGGUUCCAUCACCUAGUAGUUUCUGUGGCACUUCUACCCUCCUUAACCACCAGGGGUCCAGGAAAGAGAGAGAUGGAGGAGAAGUGUACAUGGGCUUUCACUGCCUUAAUUCAGAGCUGUGCUUCACUUCUUCUCAGAGCCCAUUGGCCAGAACUUGUCAUGUGACCUCGCCUAACUUUAGCUGAGCUGCGAAACAUAGAGGAACAAAUGGAAUCUUCAAUGACAAUUAUAGUCUAGGCCAUAUUGAGUUUCCACAUCUGUUGAUAAAGUUAUGAUAAUAAUAAUAUGAUUUACCUCAUAGAGAUGUUGGGAAGAUGAAUGCAUGUGACAUGAUUAACAUAGUGCUAGCUCAUAGAAAGUAUUUCACAAAUUCUAGCCAUAAUAAGUAUAUUAUUAUUAUUAUUAUG